GUAACAAGGUUUCCGUAGGUGAACCUGCGGAAGGAUCAUUCACACGCAUCCAUUUUGAUUCAUUGUGAACCACCCAAUGUGAGUUGCGCCCUUAGAUGGAGACAACUUGUCUACAACUUUGGGUGGAAUCUCGCGGGUAGUCUGAACGAUAUUGGACCGUCUUCCUUUAUUGUCUGGCUACCGUGUUUGUUUGAGCGAUGUUUUGUUUUGUGAUCAAUCUUUCAUCCCUGGUGGGUGACCACCUAUGAUUGCUUCAUACAACUUUCAGCGACGGAUGUCUCGGCUCGAACAACGAUGAAGGGCGCAGCGAAGUGUGAUAAGCAUUGUGAAUUGCAGAAUUCCGUGAACCAAUAGGGAUUUGAACGUAUACUGCGCUUUCGGGAUAUCCCUGAAAGCAUGCCUGCUUCAGUGUCUAUAUUCUUUCAUGCCACUGUCAUCUUGAUAUGUGCUUUGCACAUGUCUUCGACUGUAGUGCGUGUCUGUGUAUCAAGGUGCUCUGUGCCCUUGAUGCAUCUAGUGCUUGGGCUUUGUGCUCCAUAAACAACUUGAUAAACACCUGUUGUGUGUCACUGUUGUUCUGUUUGGAGUAUUGAUAGCCUUGCCUCUGGCAUCCUUGCCUUGCAUGGAUUCUUUUUAUGACAUGAAGUUAGGUGAGCAAACCCGCUGAAUUUAAGCAUAUAAGUAAGCGGAGGAUAAGAAACUAAAUAGGAUUCCCUUAGUAAUGGCGAAUGAACAGGGAUAAGCUCAGCAUGGAAAUUGGGGCCUCUGGCCUUGAAUUGUAGUCUUGAGAUGUGCUGCCAACGGAGGCGCAGAUGUAAGCCUCUUGGAAAAGAGCAUCAGGGAGGGUGAGAGUCCCGUAUGUCAUCUGCAGAUCUCUGUGCACGGUGCGCUUUCUAAGAGUCACGUUCCUCGGGAUUGGAGCGCAAAUUGGGUGGUAAAUUUCAUCUAAAGCUAAAUAUUGGUUCGAGACCGAUAGCAAACAAGUACCAUGAGGGAAAGGUGAAAAGGACUUUGAAAAGAGAGUUAAAAGUGCCUGAAAUUGCUGAAAGGGAAGCGAAUGGAACCAGUUGUUCUUGGCUAGAUUGGUGUUGUCUAAUGUGAUGGCUUGCCACUUCAACGCAAGUGUGGUGGCAGGUUUUGAUCUGGAUGCGAUACUGGUUGCUUGCCUUGCGUGUCAACGUCAGUUCAUAAUUGAGGAAAACUCUAGGGACAUGGUAAUUUGCUUCCGGGUGACUGAAUGUGCCUAGUUGAACUCAUUUUUUGAACUGCUUUCUGUGUGUCUGGUAGCAGUGCUCUGUGUGCUUGUCAGCAAUCUCUUGUUAGUUACCUGGCAUGAGACUUGCUGGCGCCUGGAACACAUCCUUGACAUAAGUACGAUGACGAAAUGGUUUUAUUCGACCCGUCUUGAAACACGGACCAAGG
rnacentral:rRNA from 1 species